rnacentral:rRNA from 1 species
AUUGAACGCUGGCGGCAGGCCUAACACAUGCAAGUCGAGCGGAUGAAGGGAGCUUGCUCCUGGAUUCAGCGGCGGACGGGUGAGUAAUGCCUAGGAAUCUGCCUGGUAGUGGGGGAUAACGUCCGGAAACGGGCGCUAAUACCGCAUACGUCCUGAGGGAGAAAGUGGGGGAUCUUCGGACCUCACGCUAUCAGAUGAGCCUAGGUCGGAUUAGCUAGUUGGUGGGGUAAAGGCCUACCAAGGCGACGAUCCGUAACUGGUCUGAGAGGAUGAUCAGUCACAUGGGAACUGAAACACGGCCCAGCCUCUUACGGGAGGAGCAAGGGGGAAAUUUUGGAAAAGGGGGGAAACCUGGACCAAGCCUUGCGGGGGGGGGAAGAAAGGUCUUGGGUUUGAAAACCUUUUAAAGUGGGGAGGAAGGGAAGUAAUUUAAUACCUUCUUUUUUGGACUUUACAAAAAAAAAAACCCCCGCCAAACUCCGUG